AAUACCACUUGUUCCUUCCAGUACUGACUCUGAUCAGCCUGUGAUGGAGGAGGAUGAAGAACUGGAGAGGAUGAUGCUGAGUCUUUCUCCAACAAAAUAUCUCACACAGCUGAGAUCAUCUGCAGCCACGGGAUCCACAGUCUUAUCUACAGCAGUGUUCUUGCCUGUUCUAAAAAACAUGUUCUUUUGUUCUAGCUACUGUUAAGGGUUGAACAUACCAGUGGUGAGGGUCUGCCACAGCCUCCAUCAACAUCAGUUCCUGUGUGUAGGCCUUCUUCACGGGGUGAAGGCUCUGUACCACCUGCAGCAACACAAUCAACACCUGCACCAAUGCCGUCUGCACUGACUGAAGCCCCUGUUCCCAGCUACUUGACCAAAAAAGUUCUGCCGACAUCACAUGCAGUCUCUAGUUCUCCCAGUCCCAGUAUGCCUUCUUCACAGACUGAUGGCUCUGUACC